CAGGCAAGGACUGGUUUGUCCAAGCUGGAAGAGCAAAGAGUGAAAGGGCCAGGGAGGAGGAGGCUGCUUUGGGGUCAGUAGGAGCUCACAUUGGCAGACUAGGACAUCAGAGAGGAACCCCUUUCUGCAGGACAGCAGAGACACAGUGAAUGGACAUCUGGGGCCAAAUUCCUCCAGCGCACGGGGACCCUGAGGGCACGAAAGCCAGAAAGAGGACCCCGCUGUGUCCCUGGCCUCCUACUGCACACUCCUGUGGCUUGAACAUCUCCAUCAGCUGUUGCUUUUUUUUACCUUGUACCUCACUUUACCCAUUUUAGCCUAAAAACAAGAACGUCUGCCCUCUUCCUUCUUAACCAAGACUGAGAUGAGGACAAGUCAGACCCUUCAGACCCAUCGUUUCAGGGACCAGCAGCUCCAGCCUGAAUGAGAAGCACGUCCUCCUGGGAGUUACGUCAGCAGCCUGACCUUCCAUCUUCCUCCUCUAAAGAAGCGUCCCUGCCACCCUGAGCACGAAGCCCUCGGGUUCCUAAAGGCCGAGGCGCUUCUUCUCAUUUACUUCCCUUGAGGAAGAAAGACCAGCCCAUCCACCCUCAUUUCCCACCGAAGGGCAUCGCAAAUAAAGUUUGCCCACGCAACCAGGCCACCACCAUUAAUUUCUCUCUGCCCUGCUCUUACAUUCUCCUCAAGGUUUUCAGUCCCCUAGAGAGGCUCCCUUCCCUCUUUUCUUUCCUUCCUCCAGCCCCCCUUUUCACCUCCCUCCACCAUUGUUUGAGGUUAAGAAGCAUGCUACGGUGUUCUAUAAAUCACUUGGCAAGAGUAGACGACAAAAGCAAAAUAUAAUUCAGAUUAAAGUCAUCCUCCCGCUGAAAUGAUAGUUUCUUAAAUAAAUGGCGAUGCUGCCUAUCAAUCUUGCUGGCAACUGGUCCUCUCAUAUUCAUCUUUCUGGGGGUGAUUUAGGAUCCACCUGGGUCCUCCGAGAAGAUUCUCCCAUCAUUUCCUUCCCGUCUCUCUGGAUCUUGCUGCUGGGCUUGGCGCAGUUGACAAAUUCUCCAAGUAAUCCCUCAAAAGAUUGGAGAAAUGCUCCGAACGCUCCAUUAAACUUAUUUUCCAUGCUUUAAGAGACCCAAAACUAUGUCCAAUAAAUAAGUGUUCCCU
rnacentral:lncRNA from 1 species